CGCCUGACAAUUACUAGCAAUAAUUUCGUUAUAUUUCAUUCCCUGUCAACUCUCCAAUAACAUCAUUUAAAUCAGACGACCUCGGAUCUUUUCAGGCGCUAAUAAAAAAAUGUCGUUAGUGGCUGUCCGACUCCACAAAUGAUCAUAUUCUCAUUUAGGCCUAAUAUCUAACACUCGCGCUCUGAAUUUUUAGCAAGACCAGACGUGAGUUAACACGGCAGACGUACUAUUCUAGAUUCCGAUUCUAACUCAGGAAUUGACUUUAAGAUAAGAAGAAUGUUAAGAGGAAAUUGGAUGAACGCUGAAGAAUCUUGGGAAUAUUUUAGAUUGUUGAAUAUUUUAGGCACGCCGUGAUUAGCCUACUACCAUUAUGAUACAGUAGUAAUGGACGCCGGCAGAGAGAAGACAUUUUUCGUUCCGUGUUGACGACUAGACAGACUCCGUAUUUUUGAAUAAACCAUGCAGGAUUACAAGAUGAUGGUUCAGACCAGAGACAGCUGAAAUGAACAGCUGUAUACGACUAAAUCAGCCUUACAAACAAUAUUCUGUCGGGUUUUUCUGCUUCAAAUUCCGGGGCGGGAUUCGACCCGAUAGGGAACAAUGGACGACAAAGGGGGAUUUAGGGGCCAUUGAGAAAGGAACAUGUGUGUCGUUUAGUAACCAGGACGAGGGGGAGAAUUGAAUUGAUGGAAUGAAAAAUGUUUUGAAAGACCUAAAAUGGGACUGACAACAUCUUUUGUAGUUUGAAUGAAGGGAAAGCGAAUUUUUCCUAACAGCAAAUAAGCAUCUUUGGUCACAAAUAUUUUUUUUAGAUAUCUAAAUAUGCUUUUAAAAAAGCCCCAAAGUUUCCAUUAAAACAAACAUUGAGUUUUGUAAUUCCGUUUAUCGUUAUCAACUGCCGAUCUCGACGUAUUUUUGCUGUUAUUGUAUUGUAUUUUCAUUGGUUCUUUCCUGCUACUCAAAGAUUGCACGCAUAGAUA